rnacentral:rRNA from 1 species
UACGUAGGUGGCAAGCGUUUGUCCGGAAUUAUUGGGCGUAAAGCGCGCGCAGGCGGCCUCUUAAGUCUGAUGUGAAAGCCCCCGGCUCAACCGGGGAGGGCCAUUGGAAACUGGGAGGCUUGAGUAUAGGAGAGAAGAGUGGAAUUCACGUGUAGCGGUGAAAUGCGUAGAGAUGUGGAGGAACACCAGUGGCGAAGGCGACUCUUUUGGCCUAUAACUGACGCUGAGGCGCGAAAGCGUGGGGAGCAAACAGG